CGAAGCCUGAUGCAGCGACGCCGCGUGAGGGAUGACGGCCUUCGGGUUGUAAACCUCUUUCAGCAGGGAAGAAGCGAAAGUGACGGUACCUGCAGAAGAAGCGCCGGCUAACUACGUGCCAGCAGCCGCGGUAAUACGUAGGGCGCAAGCGUUGUCCGGAAUUAUUGGGCGUAAAGAGCUCGUAGGCGGCUUGUCGCGUCGGAUGUGAAAGCCCGGGGCUUAACCCCGGGUCUGCAUUCGAUACGGGCAGGCUAGAGUUCGGUAGGGGAGAUCGGAAUUCCUGGUGUAGCGGUGAAAUGCGCAGAUAUCAGGAGGAACACCGGUGGCGAAGGCGGAUCUCUGGGCCGAUACUGACGCUGAGGAGCGAAAGCGUGGGGAGCGAACAGGAUUAGAUACCCUGGUAGUCCACGCCGUAAACGUUGGGAACUAGGUGUGGGCGACAUUCCACGUCGUCCGUGCCGCAGCUAACGCAUUAAGUUCCCCGCCUGGGGAGUACGGCCGCAAGGCUAAAACUCAAAGGAAUUGACG
rnacentral:rRNA from 1 species